GAGUUUGAUCAUGGCUCAGGACGAACGUGGCGGCGUGCCUAACACAUGCAAGCCAGAGGAAAGUGGCAACACGAGUCUCGGCGCAAGGGUGCGUAAUGCAUAGGUUAUCUGCCCCUCGGUCUGGGUAACCCAUCGAAAGAUGGGAUAAUACCAGAUGAUGAGGCAACUCCAAAGAAACGCCGAGGGAUGAGCCUAUGUCCCAUCAGGUAGUUGGUAGGGUAACGCCUACCAAGCCGACGACGGGUAGCUGGUCUGAGAGGAUGAUCAGCCACCUGGAACUGAGACACGGUCCAGACAUCUACGGAUGGCAGCAGUGAGGAAAUUGCUCAAUGGGUGAAAGCCUGAAGCAGCAACGCCGCGUGGGCGAUGAGGUCUUCGGAUUGUAAAGCCCUUUUGCAGGGGACGAACAACUCGCUCAGGAGCCUGACGGUACCCUGCGAAUAAGCCACGGCUAACUCUGUGCCAGCACCGCGGUGAUACAGAGGUGGCGAGCGUUGUCCGGAUUUACUGGGUGUAAGGGUGUGUAGGCGGAUUUGUAAGUCGAGGGUUAAAGACCUUCGCUCAACAAGGGAAUGCUCUCGAUACUGCAAGUCUAGAGUGCCGAAGGGGAGACUGAAUUCCCGGUGUAGCGGUGGAAUGUGUAGAGAUCGGGAAGAACACCAGUGCGAAGGCAGGUCUCUGGUCGGUAACUGACGCUGAGGCACGAAAGCGUGGGAGCAAACAGGAUUAGAUACCCUGGUAGUCCACGCCCUAAACGAUGGAGCUAGAUGUUGGCCUUCGGGUCAGUGUCGCAGCUAACGCAGUAAGCAUCCACCUGGGGAGUACGACCGCAAGGUUGAAACUCAAAUGAAUUGACGGGG
rnacentral:rRNA from 1 species